GUUUCAGGAAUGGGCAAAGAAGUGGGGAAUCUGCUACUGGAAAACUCACAGCUUCUGGAAACCAAAAACGCCUUGAACGUGGUGAAGAACGACCUGAUUGCCAAGGUCGACCAGCUGUCCGGGGAGCAGGAGGUGCUGAGGGGCGAGUUGGAGGCUGCCAAGCAGGCCAAAGUCAAGCUGGAAAACCGUAUCAAGGAGCUGGAAGAGGAACUGAAAAGAGUGAAGUCUGAGGCCAUCAUUGCCCGCCGUGAACCCAAAGAAGAGGCGGAGGAUGACAAAAUCCCCAUGGCCCAGCGCCGCCGCUUCACGCGGGUGGAGAUGGCCCGUGUGCUCAUGGAGCGGAACCAGUACAAGGAGCGGCUGAUGGAGCUGCAGGAGGCUGUGCGGUGGACUGAGAUGAUCAGAGCAUCCCGAGAGCACCCAUCCGUCCAGGAGAAGAAGAAGUCGACCAUCUGGCAGUUCUUCAGCCGCCUCUUCAGCUCCUCCUCCAGCCCCCCUCCGGCCAAGCGCCCCUACCCCUCGGUGAACAUCCAUUACAAGUCACCCACCACUGCCGGCUUCAGCCAGCGCCGCAACCAUGCCAUGUGCCCGAUCUCGGCGGGCAGCCGGCCCCUGGAAUUCUUCCCUGACGACGACUGCACGUCCUCCGCCCGUCGAGAGCAGAAGCGCGAGCAGUACCGCCAGGUGCGUGAGCACGUGCGUAACGACGACGGCCGUCUGCAGGCCUGCGGCUGGAGCCUGCCCGCCAAGUACAAGCAGCUGAGUCCCAACGGGGGCCAGGAGGACACGCGGAUGAAGAACGUGCCGGUGCCCGUGUACUGCCGCCCUCUGGUGGAGAAGGACCCCACCAUGAAGCUGUGGUGUGCCGCGGGC
rnacentral:sRNA from 1 species